GAUCAUGGCUCAGAUUGAACGCUGGCGGCAUGCUUUACACAUGCAAGUCGAACGGUAACAGGGAGCUUGCUCCGCUGACGAGUGGCGAACGGGUGAGUAAUGCAUCGGAACGUGCCGUGUAGUGGGGGAUAACGUAGCGAAAGUUACGCUAAUACCGCAUACGCCCUGAGGGGGAAAGUGGGGGACCGCAAGGCCUCACGCUAUACGAGCGGCCGAUGUCGAAUUAGCUAGUUGGUAGGGUAAAGGCCUACCAAGGCGACGAUCCGUAGCGGGUCUGAGAGGAUGAUCCGCCACACUGGGACUGAGACACGGCCCAGACUCCUACGGGAGGCAGCAGUGGGAAUUUUGGACAAUGGGGGCAACCCUGAUCCAGCAAUGCCGCGUGCAGGAAGAAGGCCUUCGGGUUGUAAACUGCUUUUGUCAGGGAAGAAAUCCUGUGGGUUAAUACCUCGUGGGGAUGACGGUACCUGAAGAAUAAGCACCGGCUAACUACGUG
rnacentral:rRNA from 1 species